rnacentral:rRNA from 1 species
UACGGAGGGGGCUAGCGUUGUUCGGAAUUACUGGGCGUAAAGCGCGCGUAGGCGGACCUGCAAGUCAGGGGUGAAAGCCCAGAGCUCAACUCUGGAAUUGCCUUUGAAGCUAGAGAACUUGGGUACGGGAGAGGUGAGUGGAAUUCCGAGUGUAGAGGUGAAAUUCGUAGAUAUUCGGAAGAACACCAGUGGCGAAGGCGGCUCACUGGCCCGUUACCGACGCUCAGGCGCGACAGCGUGGGGAGCAAACAGG